rnacentral:rRNA from 1 species
AGGUCACUGACAUUAGAUACCCGGGUAGUCCAGGGUGUAAACGCUGCAGACUUGGUGUUGGAAGCCCUUUGGGGGCAUUCAGUGCCGGAGAGAAGUUGUUAAGUCUGCUACUUGGGGAGUACGUCCGCAAGGAUGAAACUUAAAGGAAUUGGCGGGGGAGCACCGCAACGGGAGGAGCGUGCGGUUUAAUUGGAUUCAACACCGUAAAACUCACCAGGGAAGACUGUUACAUGAAGGCCGAGAUGAAGACUCUGCUAGAUUUUCAG